UACGAAGGGGCUAGCGUUGUUCGGAUUUACUGGCGUAAGCGCACGUAGGCGGAUCGUUAAGUCGGGGGUGAAAUCCUGGAGCUCAACUCCAGAACUGCCUUCGAUACUGUAGAGCUUGAGUUCGGGAGAGGUGAGUGGAACUGCGAGUGUAGAGGUGAAAUUCGUAGAUAUUCGCAAGAACACCAGUGGCGAAGGCGGCUCACUGGCCCGAUACUGACGCUGAGGUGCGAAAGCGUGGGGAGCGAACAGG
rnacentral:rRNA from 1 species